GAUGAACGCUAGCUACAGGCUUAACACAUGCAAGUCGAGGGGCAGCAUGCAGGUAGCUUGCUAUCUGUGAUGGCGACCGGCGCACGGGUGAGUAACGCGUGGGUAACCUACCUUGUACAGGGGGACAACAGUUGGAAACGACUACUAAUACCGCAUAAGCGCACAGCAUCGCAUGAUGCAGUGUGAAAAGUAUUUUCGGUACAAGAUGGACCCGCGUCUGAUUAGCUAGUUGGCGAGGUAACGGCUCACCAAGGCGACGAUCAGUAGCCGACCUGAGAGGGUGACCGGCCACAUUGGGACUGAGACACGGCCCAAACUCC
rnacentral:rRNA from 1 species